AGGCAGCUACUCAGACUUCACCAAAUAUGACAGACAAAAAAAAAUCACCCUGGCUCUGAUAGAGACAGAGUUGUAAAGCCUCUAGUGUCAGCGCUCCGGGCUUACCGGCUGCCAUUCUCCUUCUCUCCAGCGGUACCGAGAGGGACACUCAGCCACCCGGCAGCUCUGGCUGGACGCAGGUCUUGACCGCUGAGAGCAGCCUCUCUCCUGGGGGCUCUGUCGGCCUCCGACCUGGCAAGAGACCUCCCGACGCUGGAUGCCGUCUCCACACGAUGCAGAACACUAGAAACGGACAAGAAAUUUGAAGAAUGUCAAGAUGGAGGCUGGGAAGUCGAUGACAGAAGUUGAUGGUUGUGAGAAGCAUGUGGUGCAUAAUUUUAAUGGAGUAAUGCAAAUGAAUAUUACUCUUACACAUUAAUUUAUGUUGCCUUGAAACAAGUGUUUUUUUCUUUUUUUGGAACCAUUAAUUUUGUUGGACUGUGAGUCCUUUUAUGUAUAUGUGCACAAGUAAUGAUACUGCUAUCAUACCUGCCCUUUUUGGUAGGAACUGCUCUUAUCAGUGUAGACAAAGAGAUCAGGAAGUGAUAAAAAUGUCCAGACAAUCCAACUGAGGUAAGUUCACAUAAAUCAAUCGAGUCCUGAGUUUCAGCAGCUCAACAUUUUUGUGUCAAUCUACACAAAUGCACAAGUCUUCACAUUUGACAUUCAAUUUUUUCAUUCAUGUAUGUAAAUAUGUGUGUUUGUGUAUG